GGGAAGAGGGAUCGCACUUCCUCAGAAGGCUAGAGGUCCCUCCCUCAGCCGUCACGGCUCCCCCCCAUCCCCCGUGGCCCUUAAUCCCCUGGUGCGGGGGCUUGUUUCUAAGGCGCUGAGCCCUUCACCUUUCCGGAGCCCGGCAUGGUGCUGGCAACGCCUCUCUCAUCGCCUCGUUUUAAAAAUAAUGCGUUAAAAAAAUUCAGUUUGCUAUGCGAACAGCAUUCCAACAGUACACAAUUAUAUCCGAAAUAGUUAAGCAAUAAAAGAAAAAAAAAAUGACGGGCGUUGUUGAGGCAGGAGGAUUACUGCGAAUUCUACUCCACCUUGGGCUACAUACCGAGAUUGUGUCAAAAACCACGGAGUGGGGGAAAUUAAGUGAAGUAAUCGUCUACGUUGGGAACCAAAGAUUCCAAGAAAAUGCCCCAAUGUGUGCUGCUUCUAGGAUCCUAGAGAUCCAAAGACUCCUGCAUCCUUCCACAAACCUUUUACAUCACCUGAGAUCUACAUAACUGUGUUUAUGACAGCAACAGCUCCACUUCUAAGUACCAACUUGUCAGAACACGAAAGAAUGGAGUCGUAUGAAGAUAUUAGUGCUUGUGAGGAAACGCCAAGAAAACGCGAGCCUUGUGAUCUCAGUUCCUUCAAACAUGGCGCCAUUCUUAGAAUGUGCGUUCAUGCUUCUCCCAGAUGUAGCCCGUAGAGUGGGUUCGCUUCAGAUUACUCAUUAAACUGCCUAUUGUUAUUUGCUUAUAUGCCUUUAUGGAAAACAUGUUUUUGCCAUGUGCAAUUUGUCCUUGUGAUUGCACACUUUACCAUGUGACUCCUCUGAACACUCAGAGUAUAAAUUGAAUGGUUCUCUGAAGAAAGCUGGCUAUUGGAUGAGACUUUAGUGUGCCUCAUUUAUCAGCUGCACUCUCUCAGGUCCCAUCACCUCCGGGGCAGCGACACCAGCUUUCUGUCUAGUUACUUGCUUUAUUGCCAUGAAAAGAGAGCCAAAGCAACAGAAGGAGUAAAGGAUUUCCUGUGCUUUCUGUUUUACUGAAAGUUCACCAUGGGGGUGAAGCCAUGGCAGCAGAGCAGGAGUGUACUGCAUCUGUGUGCAAGGAGCAGAGAGAGAUGAAGGCUCACCAUGGAGGUGAAGGCAGUGGGGCAGGAGGAGCACUGCAUCUGUGUGCAGGGAGCAGAGAGAGAUGAAGGCUCACCAUGGAGGUGAAGGCAGUGGGGCAGGAGGAGCACUGCAUCUGUGUGCAGGGAGCAGAGAGAGAUGAAAGCUCACCAUGGAGGUGAAGGCAGUGGGGCAGGAGGAGCACUGCAUCUGUGUGCAGGGAGCAGAGAGAGAUGAAGGCUCACCAUGGAGGUGAAGGCAGUGGGGCAGGAGGCGCACUGCAUCUGUGUGCAGGGAGCAGAGAGAGAUGAAGGAAUGCUGAUGUUUAGCUUUCUUCUUUUUAUUUAUUGUAGAAACCCUGCUUUUGCCCACAUUUAGAUGGGCUUUUCCCACCUCAGUAACUCAGCAUAGACACUUCCUAACAUAAUGUCCAUGGCCUUCCCUUCUAGGUGUUUUAGAUUUUGUCAAGUUGGUGACGUUAAUCAUCAAGAAUUGUAUUAAAAUUCCAGAUCAUGGAAAAUGGAUGUUAUGUAAAUUAAUUUUAUUUUUGCAAUACUAAUGAUUGAUCCCAGAGUCUUGCAUGUGCUACCAAGUGCUGAACCACUGAGCUACACUCCCAAAGAAGAAACAGAUUCUUUAUAAAGGUAAUAUAGACAUCGGUUGUACCAAGUGCUUCAUUUGUGUUCGGUUGUUUAUAUGAGACACUGUGUCAUGUAGUCCAAGUGCCCAGGCCAUUGAACUUUUGACCCUCCUGCCUCAGACCUGCUAGUAUUAGAGGCUUAAGCCACCACACAAACUGAGCAGUGGUCUCUCUUAUGUUAAUUCAUUUAAUUCACAGAGCCUCACUGCUAUUGCUAACUUGACCGGACCCUCCCCACCUCUGUCAUGGGUAGCUGAAACAGAGGUUAUAGAAAACUGAUUCAAACUAAUUCAGUCUGAUUUUUCUCUCCCAGAAUUUAUAGGUAGGUUUAGUUAGUUUCAACCUAGAAAGGUAUGACACAGACAAACAGACCUUUGAGCCACACACAGUCGGAUGUGGGAAUCUUUGAAGGAGUGCACAGACUUACCCACGUCUCCAAAUAAACUGCUAAUUUAAGCCCACCCAAACCACCUCUGGCAUAAAACACUGGUUUUGCAAGUUUUCAAGUAGCAGUUUCUCCCCAUGUAUCCUAUAAAUUUCUUAUUUAAUUCAUUUGUUUCUUUUUUCCCUCUUUACAAUUGUAACUGCUUAUUCAUAGCCCCCUUUACGUCAAUCUGUAGAAAUUCUUUCAUCAGCUGAGACGGCAAACGUCAGUGGCGUAUAAAUGUGACAUCAGCCUUUGAAGUGCAUUCCAGAACAAUGUUUCCUAUUGGAUCGUUCCGUUCUAUAACUCAGUUUUGGUGGUGAUUCAUAUGAGGAUGACAGUGAUUCAUCUGAUUUCAGUGAGCCACAGGAUCUCAAAGAAGAACCUCACGUCCUACAGCCCAAUUUAAAAAGAAGUUCUCACAUCUGAGUAAGAGCAGUUACAUUCCAAUACAUUAAACAGAGCCAGGCAGAGUGACUCAUGCCUGGAGCCCCAGCAUCCCAGAGGCAGGAAGGUUAAGAGUUCAAGGCCAGCCUGCACUACAAAGACUACGGGCUCUGUCUCAAAAACAAACAAACAAACAAACAAACAAACACAAGCAGCAGUAACAACAACAACCACCACCACUAAAGCACACUUUGGAAUGAAGAAAGCCAUUUUCAAGAGGACUACUUUUUACUUAUAAGAUGGUAAUCAGUAGAGGACACAACUGAAUAAGGGUCUGCAAUAGAAGAGUCAACGUUGAAAGGAAAUUGAUAUUUCAUUAUUAAUGCGAGCACAUGAUUCUUUCCCAAAGUCUGUCUUACCAGACAGAUUUAAGAACACAAUUGCUGGGGUUUUAGACAUCAUAUAAUGUAUCACAUAAUCCAAUGCCGCCUACUGCAGAACCUCACUGGAGAUGGACCACCAUGUUCAAUAAAAAAAAUGUCAAGC
rnacentral:lncRNA from 1 species